rnacentral:lncRNA from 1 species
GAGUAUUUGCUUUCUGAAUGUAAGACAAGUGGCACAGACCAGUGUUUGCUGGGAAAAGUUUGUUUAGCUUUCGCAUUGAGAUCAACCGAUGUCAGCUGCAGUAUGAGAGGAGAGGUUUCAAUUGAUUUAUUAUCUGUAAGCUCUGAAUGCUAACAUUUCAUUUUUCAGGUAUAAAUGACCAAAAUGGAAUUCUUCCUCUACCCCCUUGGCAAGCUCAACCUGUGCGGACUACUGAAUUGCCUAAUUUCCAGCCUCAACCUAUGCAAAAUGGCCAUCUUGGAGGUGUGAAUUCUUUACCGGGGCCAAUUAACCAACCCGGAAGCAUGCAACUCCAAGCCCCCCAAUCCAUGCCGGGC